rnacentral:rRNA from 1 species
UGACCCCAGCUCAUGCGAGAACACCCGCUGAGUUUAAGCAUAUAAUUAAGUGAAGGAAAAGAAACUUACAAGGAUUCCCCUAGUAAUGGCGAGGGAACUGGGAAGAGCCCAACAUGAAAAUUGGGUGGCAGUGUUGCCUGAAUUGUAGUCUGUAGAAGCAUCCUUAGCGGUGGACCGGGCCCAAGUCCCCUGGAAGGGGGUGCCUAAGAGGGUGAUAGCCCCAUCGGGCCAGGACCCUGCCGCACCACGAGGCGUUGUCGGUGAGUCGGGUUGUUUGGGAAUGCAGCCCUAAUCGGGUGGUAAGUUAUGUCUAAGGCUAAAUACGGGUGAGAGACCAAUAGAGAACAAGUACCGCAAGGGAAAUAUGAAAAGGAAUUUGAAAAGAGAGUUAAACAGUGCUUGAAAUUUCCAGGAGGGAAGCGGAUGGAGGUCGACGAUGCGUCUCGGUCGGAUGUUGAAUGACUCAAGCUGGUCCGUCGCUCGACUUGAGGUGCGAACCAGCGCAAGCCAUUCCAUCGGCACAACCGUAGGUGGAGUACUGCCUAUUGGUUUUCCAUUGUGGUAGUCGAGGAACGAAGCGUGUGCCCUUGGGACGGGCCACUGUGCACCUGCACUCUCAUGGUGUUGGUUGGCAGGCUUUCCAUUCGAACCGUCUUGAAACAUGGACCAAGGAGUCUAACAUGUGUGCGAGUCGGUGGGUUUGUAAACCUCCGAGGUGUAAGGAAGAUGACGGGCAAGAACCCCUCUCCAUGGGGUGUAUUGUUCACCGAACUUGAGCUUAUGCGAAGGGUUUGAGUGCGAGCACACCUGUUAGGACCCGAAAGAUGGUGAACUAUGCCUGAGUAGGGCGAAGCCAGAGGAAACUCUGGUGGAGGCUCAUAGUGAUAUUGACGUGCAAAUCAUUCGUCUAACUUGGGUAUAGGGGUGAAAGACUAAUUGAACCAUCUAGUAUCUGGUUUCCUCUGAAGUUUCCCUCAGGAUAGCUGGAGCUCAUGUGCAAGUUUUAUCGGGUAAAGCAAAUGAUUAGAGGCAUCAGGGGCGUAACGCCCUCAACCUAUUCUCAAAAUUUAAAUAGGUAAGAUAGCACGGCUGCUCCAUUGAUUCGUGCCAUGGAAUCGAGAGCUCCAAGUGGGCCAUUUUUGGUAAGAAGAACCGGCGAUGCGGGAUGAACCGAAAGUCGAGUUACGGUGCCAAAUUGCGCACUAACCUAGAUCCCACAAAGGGUGUUGGUUGAUUAAGACAGUAGGACGGUGGUCAUGGAAGUCGAAAUCCACUAAGGAGUGUGUAACAACUCACCUACCGAAUCAACUAGCCCCAAAAAUGGAUGGCGCUAAAGCAUGUGACCUAUACUCGACCGUCGAAGUAAUUGCUAGGCUUCGAUGAGUAGGAGGAUGCGGGGGUCAUUGAGAAACUUUGGGCGUGAGCCUGGGUGGACCGGUCCCUGGUGCAGAUCUUUGUGGUAGUAGAAAAUAUUCAAAUGAGAACUUUGAAGACUGAAUUGGGGAAAGGUUCCAUGUGAACAACACUUGGACAUGGGUUAGUCGAUCCUAAGAGAUGGGGAAGCCCUGUAUCAAGGGUGCACUCUACACGAACAAUGAAAGGGAAUCGGGUUAAUAUUCCCGAAUCGGGACAUGGGGGUGGACGACAACGUUAGGAAAUCCGGAGACGUCAUCAGGGGCCCCAGGAAGAGCUAUCUUUUCUUUUUAAUAGCUUUCCCACCCUGAAAUCGGCUCAACCGGAGAUAGGGUCCAACAGCUGGAAGAGCAUCGCACGUCUUGCUGUGUCCAAUGCACCCUUGGCGGCCAUUGAAAAUUUGGAGGACCGAGCACCGUCCAUGCCUGAUCAUACUCAUAACCACAUCAGGUCUCUAAGGUGAACAACCUCUGGUCAAUAAGAUAAUGUAGGUAAGGGAAGUCGACAAAACAGAUCCAUAACUUCAGGAAAAGGAUUGGCUCUGAGGACUGGGCCUAGGGGUCUGCAUCCUCAACCCGUGGACUGUCAGCAGUCUGCCCGAGCUUCCAUCGUAGCGAGGGAGGGCAGUCGCGUGUUGAUUAGGCUACGGACGUAGAAUGUCCUCUCGCAGGGGAUUUUCCCUAGGCGGUGAACAGUCGACUUAGAACUGGUACGGACAAGGGGUGAUCAGAAAUCGGAUCCAGAAGUCUGACAGGGUUUAAAAAUGCUCAAAAAUGAAAGUGCUUGGAAUGCGAUGAAACCAAAUAGGUAAAAAGUCAAAGUUCAACUAGUUAAAAAGUCAAUGCUGAUGGCAACAUGACAUCAGCAUGCUGACUGUGCAGGAGAUGAUGUGGCACUCUCUGGCUGACGGUGAUUGGGCAAGUUCACUGACAGGGUAGACAUGUGCCAGGCAAAUGGACCAAUCAAUAGUUGACAAGUGGUAUUAAUCCAUCGAAUGGGGAUAUGCCACAUGGACUAGUCAUGGGAAGCCACGUGGCACCCAGUCAAAGUCUAAGUGGAAAGUUAUAAAAAAUUAGUUGGGGUCCAUGGGUUUCAAAC